GUUAGCUGCUGUUUGGUUUAGACAUUGGGUUAACCAUUACCCUUACCUAGGGUUAACCCAAUCCAUCCAAUUGAUUCCCCUCAAAUUAGACUGGAAACGAAAUCCAUUCCGCUCCAUUCCCCGUUCUCUUCAAAACAUUUUUUCUCCUUUCAUGCUUUCUCUCCAUUUCGCAACUUUUCUCUCUGGUUUCUGUCGAGCUUCAUCAAGAUCUCCAUUGAAGAUCUCCAUUUCCGUCAAGCUUCAUCAACAUCUCCAUUGAAGAUCUCCAAUUCCGUCGAGCUCAGAAAUAUUUGGAGCAUUUAGGUGAAAUUUCUGCUUGAAGUGUGCUGUUAGUGUUUCAACCAAUUUUCAGAAGAUAUUUGAGAACAUCAAUGCAAACUUGGGAACUAUGGCUUGUGCUUGGGCGAAAGCGGAAGAAAGAGAACAAAAGUUGGAUGAUAAGGCGAACAAAGUGCUAGAAGAAGUGAUGAAGUUAGAUGGCCUUUCUCCUUCCGAAGCUUUGGAAGUGGCUACAAUUCUCAUGGCGGAAGAACACAAGCGUCACAUAUUUUAUCAAGCUCCAAUGAACUUGAGGAGGCAAUAUGUCAUUGAUCUUCUCAAGAAAAAGUAGAGCUAGUAUGUAAUUCCUAGUAACAUCUUAUGUCUAGCAGUUAAAUAUCAUGUUUUUGCUUCUUUAUGUUGAUAUGGUCAGAAGUAGAGUGCUCUUAAUUCAAGACUGUGCUGCUGUCAGUAUGAUGCAAUGUUUCUUGAGAAAUAGGGAAUUCAUUUGAUAACCUUUAUAUCCCAAGACUUUGGUAUACAUGAGAAAGAGACAUUUUUAUUUAUUUA